GCAACAGUGAGCAAAACAGGUGUAAUACCUGACUCAUUAGCUUAAAAAUAAGGGAAAUAAUAAUAUACAAAUGAAUAAAGCAUAUGAGAGCACAUAAGAUGUAUUUGGGACCUCAUCAAGCUUGCUAUGUCCAAGAAAACUUUGAAGAGCUCAAAUCUGAAGGACAAGAACGGAAGGGGAAUACUGCCAACGAAUCAGUAGUAACAUCAACUACUAGUACUACAGUGAAAGUGACAUCUCAGGUGAGACCUAAACAUUAAGAAAA
rnacentral:lncRNA from 1 species